rnacentral:rRNA from 1 species
GGGUGAGUAAUACAUAAGUAACCUGGCAUCUACAGGGGGAUAACUGAUGGAAACGUCAGCUAAGACCGCAUAGGUGUAGAGAUCGCAUGAACUCUAUAUGAAAAGUGCUACGGGACUGGUAGAUGAUGGACUUAUGGCGCAUUAGCUUGUUGGUAGGGUAACGGCCUACCAAGGCGACGAUGCGUAGCCGACCUGAGAGGGUGACCGGCCACACUGGGACUGAGACACGGCCCAGACUCCUACGGGAGGCAGCAGUAGGGAAUUUUCGGCAAUGGGGGAAACCCUGACCGAGCAACGCCGCGUGAAGGAAGAAGUAAUUCGUUAUGUAAACUUCUGUCAUAGAGGAAGAACGGUGGAUAUAGGGAAUGAUAUCCAAGUGACGGUACUCUAUAAGAAAGCCACGGCUAACUACGUGCCAGCAGCCGCGGUAAUACGUAGGUGGCGAGCGUUAUCCGGAAUUAUUGGGCGUAAAGAGGGAGCAGGCGGCACUAAGGGUCUGUGGUGAAAGAUCGAAGCUUAACUUCGGUAAGCCAUGGAAACCGUAGAGCUAGAGUGUGUGAGAGGAUCGUGGAAUUCCAUGUGUAGCGGUGAAAUGCGUAGAUAUAUGGAGGAACACCAGUGGCGAAGGCGACGAUCUGGCGCAUAACUGACGCUCAGUCCCGAAAGCGUGGGGAGCAAAUAGGAUUAGAUACCCUAGUAGUCCACGCCGUAAACGAUGAGUACUAAGUGUUGGGGGUCAAACCUCAGUGCUGCAG